rnacentral:rRNA from 1 species
GAUGAACGCUAGCGGCAGGCUUAAUACAUGCAAGUUGAGGGGCAGCAUGAUAUACGCGAGUAUAUUGAUGGCGACCGGCGGACGGGUGAGUAAUAGGUAGGAGACCUACCUCAUACAGGGGGAUAGCAUAGAGAAAUCUGUGGUAAUACCCCAUGAGGUUAUAUGAAUAGAGGCAUAUAAUCAAAGCAUAAGCGAUUAUGCGGUAUGAGAGGGGCCUACUGACCAUUAGCUAGUUGGUGAGGUAAGGGCUCACCAAGGCGAAGAUGGUUAGGGGUUUUGAGAGAGAGACCCCCCACAUUGGAACUGAGAGACGGUCCAGACUCCUACGGGAGGCAGCAGUAGGGAAUAUUGGGCAAUGGGCGAAAGCCUGACCCAGCCAUGCCGCGUGAAGGAGACGGCCUUAUGGGUUGUAAACUUCUUUACUACGCGUAAAUAGAGGUUUAGUACGAGAUACUAAUAGGAAGGUAGUGUAGUAAAAGCACCGGCUAACUCCGUGCC